rnacentral:lncRNA from 1 species
AUAUUUCUAUCCCAGCCCCUCACAACGCGUGAAAUAUGCGCGAAUACACCUUCACAAUCAAAUUCACGCGAAACGGCACAUAAAAUAUCGCACUUUUUGCAAAAUUACCGUUUUGCCAACACCGACCUCUCCUCGAUCAACGUGCGAUCUCCGCAGAUCCGUCCGUCAGAUUUACGAACGGAUUGUACCAGUGCGAUCAGCACCUCGGAGACGACAAAGCUACGAUUUCGUUUCACCACGAUCGACCACGGAUUCACGACAAAAGCCAAUCUUUCUUUCCAAUAGAAGGAAUAACACAUAAAUACAUAUAAAACAUGUAUUUUUGGAUUUUCUCGAAAUCCGUGCAUCAAACUCAAAAUCCGUCAGUGCCAGUAGUUCUAGAAUAGCUGAACCGAUCGAAACGAGGUAUUGGAUCGCUAUGAACGGAGUCCGAUACGCGUAGAAAACCAACUCUACUCCGUGGGUUCACCGAAAAACCGGAGUUACUAUUCACUUAAGUGAAAACUAAUAAUCGCGUAACUUCUCCGUUUUAGCUCAUUUUCUUCUGAAACUUGACGAGUGCUUAUAUAGUUAAAUUACACACAUAAACAUCAUCAACAGAGAGUUUAGUAGCACUGUAAAAAUCUCAGUUCUUACACUCUAUGACUCCCCAAACACCACCAAGACCAUCAAAAUAGUAUCAAUUCCUAUUUCUCACUAAAACUUUGCUAUUUGCAAAAGUUCAAUACAUUACAAAAGUUUUAAACCUUAAAUCAUAUUUGCACCAUUUAAAACUAUAUUAAACUAUUUAAUGAGAAUCUAAAAUUUUUAUUAGAAAAGCUUAAAUGUUGCAUCAUUUGAAGCCAUGUUAUACAAUUUGUGAGUAUGUUGCACU